CUUCUUGAUUGAAAUAGGAAGUCGUGCCUGCCCACUGAUAAUGAUUGAAUGGCCGCGGUAUCUUGACCGUGCAAAGGUAGCAUAAUCAUUAGUCUUUUAAUUGGGGACUGGAAUGAAUGGUUUGACGAAGCACUAACUGUCUCUGCUGUAAAAAUUGAAUUUUACCUUUAAGUUAAAAGGCUUAAAUAUGAUAAGGGGACGAGAAGACCCUAUAGAUCUUUAUUUUUUUAUAAGUGGAAAUGAUAAUAGUUGUUUUUUCUUUUUUUUUGUGAAAAAAUUUAGUUGGGGUGACGUGAGAAUAAAAGUAACUUCUUUUGGUUAUGACUUGAAUAAUUGGAUUAGUUGAUCCUGUAAUAUGGAUUUAAGAUUAAGAUACCUUAGGGAUAACAGCGUUAUUUUAUUUGAGAGUUCUUAUCGACAAUAAAGAUUGCGACCUCGAUGUUGGAUUAAGAUUACAUUUUGGUGUAGUGGCUAAAAUUAUGUUGGUCUGUUC
rnacentral:rRNA from 1 species